rnacentral:rRNA from 1 species
CCCAGACAGCCAGGAUGUUGGCUUAGAAGCAGCCAUCAUUUAAAGAAAGCGUAAUAGCUCACUGGUCGAGUCGGCCUGCGCGGAAGAUGUAACGGGGCUAAACCAUGCACCGAAGCUGCGGCAGCGACACUCAGGUGUCGUUGGGUAGGGGAGCGUUCUGUAAGCCUGCGAAGGUGGCCUGUGAGGGUUGCUGGAGGUAUCAGAAGUGCGAAUGCUGACAUAAGUAACGAUAAAGCGGGUGAAAAGCCCGCUCGCCGGAAGACCAAGGGUUCCUGUCCAACGUUAAUCGGGGCAGGGUGAGUCGACCCCUAAGGCGAGGCCGAAAGGCGUAGUCGAUGGGAAACGGGUUAAUAUUCCCGUACUUGGUGUUACUGCGAAGGGGGGACGGAGAAGGCUAUGUUGGCCGGGCGACGGUUGUCCCGGUUUAAGCGUGUAGGUGUGUGUUCCAGGUAAAUCCGGUUCACUUUAACACUGAGGCGUGACGACGAGGCACUACGGUGCUGAAGCAACAAAUGCCCUGCUUCCAGGAAAAGCCUCUAAGCAUCAGGUAACAUCAAAUCGUACCCCAAACCGACACAGGUGGUCAGGUAGAGAAUACCAAGGCGCUUGAGAGAACUCGGGUGAAGGAACUAGGCAAAAUGGUGCCGUAACUUCGGGAGAAGGCACGCUGACACGUAGGUGAAGUGAUUUACUCAUGGAGCUGAAGUCAGUCGAAGAUACCAGCUGGCUGCAACUGUUUAUUAAAAACACAGCACUGUGCAAACACGAAAGUGGACGUAUACGGUGUGACGCCUGCCCGGUGCCGGAAGGUUAAUUGAUGGGGUCAGCGCAAGCGAAGCUCCUGAUCGAAGCCCCGGUAAACGGCGGCCGUAACUAUAACGGUCCUAAGGUAGCGAAAUUCCUUGUCGGGUAAGUUCCGACCUGCACGAAUGGCGUAAUGAUGGCCAGGCUGUCUCCACCCGAGACUCAGUGAAAUUGAACUCGCUGUGAAGAUGCAGUGUACCCGCGGCAAGACGGAAAGACCCCGUGAACCUUUACUAUAGCUUGACACUGAACAUUGAGCCUUGAUGUGUAG